UACAGAGGGUGCUAGCGUUGUUCGGAAUCAUUGGGCGUAAAGCGUGCGCAGGCGGUUCGUUGUGUCGGCGGUGAAAGCCCCGGGCUCAACCUGGGAAUGGCCGUUGAAACUGGCGAACUGGAGUGUGGCAGAGGGGGGUGGAAUUCCGCGUGUAGCAGUGAAAUGCGUAGAGAUGCGGAGGAACACCGAUGGCGAAGGCAGCCCCCUGGGCUGACACUGACGCCUCAGGCACGAAAGCGUGGGGAGCAAACAGG
rnacentral:rRNA from 1 species